AAGUCGUAACAAGGUUUCCGUAGGUGAACCUGCGGAAGGAUCAUUAACACGUAUCCAAACGUUAAAACCCCCCCCGUGAACCUUCAUCCUGCUCUUGUAACCCGCGUAGUUCGCAAUCUCUGAUAAAUCAUAGCCCGGAAAGUUGUAGUGAUUCAGAGACCUCUGGCUACGUGCGAACAUUGGAACAGUUACAAUCGAGCGGUAGUUCUAUAGGCAAUGUUUCCCCAAGCAGUCAGUGUCGGGGAUUGUGCAAGGAUAGCGCUUCUACGAUUCCUGUAGACCGUACACUCGGCCCCCUAAUAACCCCACAGUUUAAUGUGAAGCUCAAUGUAAUACAUUGGGCAAAAAAACCGAACAACUGUUAACAAUGGAUAUCUUGGUUCUC
rnacentral:misc_RNA from 1 species